CGGAACCUACGGGACGCAGCAGUGAGGAAUAUUGGUCAAUGGUCGGGAGACUGAACCAGCCAAGCCGCGUGAGGGAUGAAGGUACAGAGUAUCGUAAACCUCUUUUGUCAGGGAACAAAGGCGGGGACGCGUCCCCGGAUGAGUGUACCUGAAGAAAAAGCAUCGGCUAACUCCGUGCCAGCAGCCGCGGUAAUACGGAGGAUGCGAGCGUUAUCCGGAUUUAUUGGGUUUAAAGGGUGCGCAGGCGGUCUGUUAA
rnacentral:rRNA from 1 species